GGGAGAAGAGAGGAGGAGAAGUGCAGCCAAAUUCCCUUUGCAAACUGCUGAGAGGGGGCUGCUGAGAGAACCUGUGGCUGUGGAGCAGAAACAGACGCCUGUGGCUGAGAUGAAGUUUGAAGGUUCACUGCACACUGACAGGCCCAAAUCUGCAUGAGAAUGUGGCCUUGGCGGCUUGCCCCAGCCCAUCAGGGCUGCGCCGCCAUGGCAUCCUCUCCGCUCUGCAACCGGGGCAUUGUUCUGGGCUGGAAAAUCCCUCCCUCCCGCUGAGGAGCGGCUCCACGGCAGCCCAUGAAUAUCGUUCCACCAGCCAAGUUCCCUCUGCAAAUGACAUCCUGCGCCACUGCGCUCUCCAACGGUCCGCCAUCCCCAGGAGGUGCAUCUGCCUACCCGUGGCAACAGCUUCAGGCUAAGCAUCACUCUUGGCAAGGCCAGCCGGCUCCGAGUGGUCCCGUACCCAAAUUACCUACUGUCAUAUGCUGGUUCGGCUACGAGUCAAACUGCAAAUGGGGCUCUACUGAAGUUUCACAUUUCUCCACUGCAGUGCCAUAGACCAGGGAGGCUUUCAGAAAACACCGACUGCUGAGUGGAGCUGUGCGAUGCAUCAUCUCCUCCUCUAUGGUGGAAGCCCCUUUGGACCAGAUGUCAACUUCUGUUCAGGACAAAGCAGUUUGUCAAGUCAUAACUCCAGGGAGUUGGUAACUAAGCAACAGAUCAACUGUUGCAAAACUUUGAUCUCUUAAUGAUGCUCAUUUGGGAGCCUUCUGACAAGGAAUUCUCUGAGGGCUGGUAACCUUUUUGAUUGUAUGACCAGAUAAGGAAGAAACAAUUUGGACACACUGUAGAUAGACCCUAAUUUGCAAAAGAAGCCCAUGUGUAGGGUCAUGAAUCCCUGGAGGAGUCUGACCUAUGCCCUAUAGUUAUAAUUCUUGAAGACUUGGAAGAAACUGAGAUACUGAGUGCAUUUCUUGUUUGUCUUUGCUCUCUAUCAGCUCAAAUUCAACUGCCUCAAUAUAGGCAAUUAGUGCCAUUCGAGAUAUGCUGAUUUAUGAGAGACAUGUAAACGGGACUGGCAUGUAUGACACAGGACCUAGAGGGCACUAUCGUACUCCCCUUUUUCUGGAACAACAACUGGACACCUCACAGGACGCACAAGGAUGUUUCAAAUGGCACUAAACACUUAUUUAGGCAAUUGAAUCCUGUCAUAUUUUUCAUGGUGUGGUUCGAGUAAAAUGUGAUAAGGUUCAGCUGCACAAAACUUGUGAAUCUAUCUUCUUCUACUACUGUACAAACUCUGUUCUACCUCCUUGAGGAGAUCACCUGUACAACAGUGUUCCUCAGAGGGAUGGAUCUCAGUGGAAACACGUGUUUAAAUUUUGACUCUGACUCAGGACACCAGGGUACCUGGGUCUUGGUGUGCCAUUUCCACAGAAGAGGAAAGAACCCAAGCAGUGUGCCAGAUAAGCCACUAAUGAAACUUAGAGCUAUGAAGUAUAGAUAUUGCAUGCAGGUCUAAUUCAGUCUAAUUGCAAUGUUAUUUUAAACCCAAUUCAGGUAUUUAUGUAUCAGCUUAUUGAGUCAUUAAGCCUAUUUUUCUUUGGUAUGGAAUUAUAUGGUAAAUAUAUAUAUAUAUUCUACAGUUUGGGAGAUCAAGCUAAAUCCUUAUAUAUUUAUUUUUCCAUAAUGAA